UUAAAUUUCAUUUAUUAAUUAUUUAGAGUCUUACAACUACUAACAAGCAGUAAUAAUAAUAAUACUUAAUAAUUAAUUAACACUAAUAUUUGACUAUUUCAUUCGAAUAUUACUACCAAGUCAAAUUACUAUUUUGAUAAAAUUAAAAAUUACUAAAACUAGGUAAUUAACACCAUGCAGAUGCGACGGUGAGAGUUCGUCCCAUCCAACCAAAGCAAAUCCCGCCGGCUUCUUCUUU
rnacentral:lncRNA from 1 species